AGAGCACACGGUGGAUGCCUUGGCACCAAGAGCCGAUGAAGGACGUAGUAGGCUGCGAUAAGCCUCGGGGAGUUGCCAAACGAGCUGUGAUCCGAGGGUGUCCGAAUGGGGGAACCCAGCACGCGUGAUGGCGUGUUACCCGCAUCUGAAUACAUAGGGUGUGUGGAGGGAACGCGGGGAAGUGAAACAUCUCAGUACCCGCAGGAAGAGAAAACAAUAGUGAUUCCGUCAGUAGCGGCGAGCGAACGCGGAGGAGGCUAAACCGCAUGCGUGUGAUACCCGGCAGGGGUUGCGUGUGUGGUGUUGUGGGGCGCGAUGUCCUUGGUUCUGCCGGACCGGGCGCUGAUUGUUCGCGGGUUAGGGGAACGACUUGGAAGGGUCGGCCGGAGAGGGUGAGAGUCCCGUACCUGAAAACCUUGCGGCGGGGCGAUUUGUGUACCCAAGUAGCAGCGGGCCCGUGAAAUCUGCUGUGAAUCUGCCGGGACCACCCGGUAAGCCUGAAUACUCCUUGGUGACCGAUAGCGGAUUAGUACCGUGAGGGAAUGGUGAAAAGUACCCCGGGAGGGGAGUGAAAUAGUACCUGAAACCGUGUGCUUACAAUCCGUCAGAGGCCUUUUGGGCUGAUGGCGUGCCUUUUGAAGAAUGAGCCUGCGAGUUAGUGGUAUGUCGCGAGGUUAACCCGUCGAGGGGUAGCCGUAGCGAAAGCGAGUCCGAAUAGGGCGUUGUUAGUGGCAUGCUCUAGACCCGAAGCGGAGUGAUCUACCCAUGGCCAGUGUGAAGCGACGGUAAGACGUCGUGGAGGCGCGAACCCACUUAGGUUGAAAACUGAGGGGAUGAGUUGUGGGUAGGGGUGAAAGGCCAAUCAAACUCCGUGAUAGCUGGUUCUCCCCGAAAUGCAUUUAGGUGCAGCGUCGCAUGUUUCACCUCGGAGGUAGAGCUACUGGAUGGCCGAUGGGCCCUACAAGGUUACUGACGUCAGCCAAACUCCGAAUGCCGAGGUGUGAGAGUGCGGCAGUGAGACUGUGGGGGAUAAGCUUCAUAGUCGAGAGGGAAACAGCCCAGAUCGCCGGCUAAGGCCCCUAAGCGUGUACUAAGUGGAAAAGGAUGUGGGAUCGCUGAGACAGCCAGGAGGUUGGCUUAGAAGCAGCCACCCUUGAAAGAGUGCGUAAUAGCUCACUGGUCAAGUGGUCCUGCGCCGACAAUGUAGCGGGGCUCAAGUACACCGCCGAAGCCGCGGCACUCACACGUAUAUCCUCCUCCGGGCAGGUGUGUGGGUGGGUAGGGGAGCGUCGUGUGGCCAUAGAAGCGCCGGAGUGAUCCAGGUGUGGAGGCCACACGAGUGAGAAUGCAGGCAUGAGUAGCGAAUGACGAGUGAGAAACUCGUCCGCCGGAUGACCAAGGGUUCCUGGGUCAAGCUAAUCUGCCCAGGGUGAGUCGGGACCUAAGGCGAGGCCGACAGGCGUAGUCGAUGGACAACGGGUUGAUAUUCCCGUACCCGUGUAUGCGCGCCCAUGGUGAAUCAGUGAUACUAACCGCCCAGAACCACCUAGACGGUCUUCGGACCGCGUGGUGGGGAUGCGCGGGACCUGAUCUGGUAGUAGCCAAGCGAUGGGGUGACGCAGGAAGGUAGCUGGGCCAGUCAGUGGUUGUACUGGUGUAAGAGUGUAGGCCGUGACAACAGGCAAAUCCGUGUCACAUUAAGGCUGAGACUUGAUGCGUACCCGUUGUGGGGAAUUCAGUGAUCCUAUGCUGCCGAGAAAAGCCUCUAGUGAGUUCAUACACGGCCCGUACCCCAAACCAACACAGGUGGUCAGGUAGAGAAUACCAAGGCGAUCGAGAGAACUGUGGUUAAGGAACUCGGCAAAAUGCCCCCGUAACUUCGGGAGAAGGGGGACCACGCCCGGUGAGCACCUUCGCGGUGGGAGCUGGGGGUGGUCGCAGAGACCAGAGAGAAGCGACUGUUUACUAAAAACACAGGUCCGUGCGAAGACGUAAGUCGAUGUAUACGGACUGACGCCUGCCCGGUGCUGGAAGGUUAAGAGGACCGGUUAGCCGCAAGGCGAAGCUGAGAAUUUAAGCCCCAGUAAACGGCGGUGGUAACUAUAACCAUCCUAAGGUAGCGAAAUUCCUUGUCGGGUAAGUUCCGACCUGCACGAAUGGCGUAACGACUUCUCUGCUGUCUCGACCACAGACUCGGCGAAAUUGCAUUACGAGUAAAGAUGCUCGUUACGCGCGGCAGGACGAAAAGACCCCGGGACCUUUACUAUAGCUUGGUAUUGGCGUUCGAUUCGGUUUGUGUAGGAUAGGUGGGAGACUGUGAAGCAUGCACGCCAGUGUGUGUGGAGUCGUUGUUGAAAUACCACUCUGAUCGUAUUGGACGUCUAACCUCGGCCCAUGAUCUGGGUUAGGGACAGUGCCUGGUGGGUAGUUUAACUGGGGCGGUUGCCUCCCAAAGAGUAACGGAGGCGCCCAAAGGUUCCCUCAGCCUGGAUGGCAAUCAGGUGUUGAGUGCAAGUGCACAAGGGAGCUUGACUGUGAGACUGACACGUCGAGCAGGGACGAAAGUCGGGACUAGUGAUCCGGCACCGGCAAGUGGAAGCGGUGUCGCUCAACGGAUAAAAGGUACCCCGGGGAUAACAGGCUGAUCUUCCCCAAGAGUCCAUAUCGACGGGAUGGUUUGGCACCUCGAUGUCGGCUCGUCGCAUCCUGGGGCUGGAGUAGGUCCCAAGGGUUGGGCUGUUCGCCCAUUAAAGCGGCACGCGAGCUGGGUUUAGAACGUCGUGAGACAGUUCGGUCUCUAUCCGCCGCGCGCGUAAGAAACUUGCGGAAGGCUGUCCCUAGUACGAGAGGACCGGGACGGACGAACCUCUGGUGUGCCAGUUGUUCCACCAGGAGCAUCGCUGGUUAGCUACGUUCGGAAGGGAUAACCGCUGAAAGCAUCUAAGCGGGAAGCCUGUUCCAAGAUGAGGUUUCUCACCACCUUCGCGUGGUUAAGGCCCCCCACAGACCAUGGGGUUGA
rnacentral:rRNA from 1 species